rnacentral:rRNA from 1 species
GCAAAAUGUAACUUUCAGUUUGAUACCCCGAAACCAAGCGAGCUACUUCAGAACAGCCAAAAGGGCCAACCCGUCUCUGUUGCAAAAGAGUGGGAAGAUUCUCAAGUAGAGGUGACAAGCCUACCGAGCUUGGAGAUAGCUGGUUGUUCAGAAAAAGAGUUUUAGCUCUACCUUAAGUUUUUCUAUUAAAAUAAACAAACCCCAAGACUUAAGAGCUAUUCAAAUAAGGCACAGCUUAUUUGAAAUAGGGCACAGCCUACAACAUAGGGUAAACAAGAGUAACUUAAAUAAAGUAGGCCUAAAAGCAGCCACCUUUAGAAAAGCGUCAAAGCUUAACCACUCCCUACUCACAAUAUCUUAAAUUUUCACUAACCCCUCACUAUUACUGAAUAAUUUUAUAAUUAUAUAAAAGCUAUCAUGCUAGAACUAGUAACAAGAAAUUGCCUUUCUCCUAAAUGUAAACAUAAACCAAAAUAGACUAUCUAUUGGUUAUUAACGUAAAUGCCAAAUUAUAGCAACAUCCUCCAGAAAAUCCUAUAGCCCCCAACGUUAACCUUACACUAGAACAUUUCAGGAAAGAUUUAAAGAAAAAGAAGGAACUCGGCAAAUUUUAGCCUCGCCUGUU